AAAAAAACUGAAAGGAUAAGGUGGAGCGAGCAGAUGACAGCAUUCAGAUAAAAAGGUGUUUUGCGCGGGGGAGCGACUAUUUGAGACGCGCAAAGGGCCACAUGCUGCCUCACAUCGGGACCAUGCAGACCACCUCCAGCCUGCUGAGCGAGGCGCUGCUCUGCGCACUGCUGCUGCUCUCCAGCACCAGAGGAGCCGAAGUGUUGGACACCGAGUCCGAAGAGGAGCUGAGCCCCAGAGCUCUGCGGGACUUCUACCCCAAAGGUCCGAACCUGACCAGUGAGAAGCAGCUGCUUGGAGCUCUCCAUGAAGUUCUGGAAAAGCUGCAGGCUAAACGACUGCCUUCAUGGGAAAAGAAAUUUGGCCAAGUCCCAACGUGUGAUAUCGGGGAGCAGUGCGCCGUGCGUAAAGGCGCUCGGAUCGGCAAGAUGUGCGACUGUCCCCGGGGAGCUUUCUGCAACUUUUUCCUGCUAAAGUGCUUAUGAGCAUCGCUGGAUCUGAAUGUAGCACUGCAAAGAGAAAACUUCACUCGAUUCCUUUAUCCCAGUCAAUAUUUGAAGAAUGACGUGGAUCUGACAAUGAGCUGUGACGUCACACCCAACGGGUUGCUGCCAGGCUCCUUCAUUGUCAAUAACCAGGGCGGGCUCAUGAUUAAAUCCCAAUUGUGCUGCAGAGGAAGUAGUUAUAUUAAGAAGCAGAGAGAGACUGUCACAGCACAAUCUGAGCCCCAGGAGCUGCCCCAGGCUGUUUACCACAUCACACGCAUGAAAGAAGAUUAACCUGCAGAACAUUCAUUCAGAUUAGACUGACCUAAAACUCAAGAAAAUAUCUUUAUUUUAUUCAUGGGAAAUAUUUUUAACCUCUUAUUUAAGCUUUAAUGUCAACAUUUCGAUUUGGAUUUGCAGCUUUGACUUAAAGUCCCUCUUCUUCAAACAAAACUGUGUUAUGCCUUUUGUCUUUUUUUUUACUGGGAUGUUUGACCUUCACUGCAGAAUGAUGCUAACAUCAAUCUGAAGUGCCUAACCCUUAAAUCUGAGUUGAAGACAUACACGAAUAAAUGUUGUGAUAUCAAAACUUGUAAGCCAAUCAUGAUCGUUUAUGCAACUGGAAUGUACCCUCAUGUGUCAUAUCUCUGCUAUGAUAAUAAUAAAUAACCAAAUAAUGGUAAAUAAG